AUACGGAGGGUGCAAGCGUUAAUCGGAAUUACUGGGCGUAAAGCGCGCGUAGGCGGUUAUUUAAGUCAGAUGUGAAAUCCCUGGGCUCAACCUAGGAACUGCAUCUGAUACUGGGUAACUAGAGUUUUGGAGAGGUAAGUGGAAUUUCCGGUGUAGCGGUGGAAUGCAUAGAGAUCGGAAGGAACACCAGUGGCGAAGGCGACUUACUGGCCAAAAACUGACGCUGAGGUGCGAAAGCGUGGGUAGCAAACAGGAUUAGAUACCCUAGUAGUCC
rnacentral:rRNA from 1 species